rnacentral:rRNA from 1 species
UGGAGAAUAACCGUUGGAAACGACGGCUAAUGCUGCAUAAUCCCUCUUUGCAUAAGUAGAGAGGAGAAAGGGGGCUUCGGCUCCUGCUACGAGAUGAGCCUGCGUCCGAUUAGCUUGUUGGUGGGGUAACGGCCCACCAAGGCGACGAUUGGUAGCUGGUCUGAGAGGAUGAUCAGCCACACUGGAACUGACACACGGUCCAGACUCCUACGGGAGGCAGCAGUGGGGAAUAUUGCGCAAUGGGGGAAACCCUGACGCAGCGACGCCGCGUGUACGAUGAAGGCCUUCGGGUUGUAAAGUACUGUCAGCAGGGAAUAAGAUGAACUGGUUAAUACCCAGUUUGUUUGAAGGUACCUGCAGAGGAAGCACCGGCUAAAUCUGUGCCAGCAGCCGCGGUAAUACGGGGGAUGCAAGCGUUAUCCGGAAUUAUUGGGCGUAAAGCGUCCGUAGGCGGCUAGGCAAGUUUGUUGUUAAAGCGUGCAGCUCAACUGCAUAUGGGCAAUGAAAACUGCUUGGCUAGAGUGUGGUAGGGGUAGAGGGAAUUCCCGGUGUAGCGGUGAAAUGCGUAGAUAUCGGGAAGAACACCAGUGGCGAAAGCGCUCUGCUGGGCCACAACUGACGCUGAUGGACGAAAGCUAGGGGAGCGAAAGGGAUUAGAUACCCCUGUAGUCCUAGCCGUAAACGAUGAACACUAGGUGUUGUCUGUAUCGACCCGGACAGUGCCGUAGCUAACGCGUUAAGUGUUCCGCCUGGGGAGUACGCACGCAAGUGUGAAACUCAAAGGAAUUGACGGGGGCCCGCACAAGCGGUGGAGUAUGUGGUUUAAUUCGAUGCAACGCGAAGAACCUUACCAGGACUUGACAUCCCAAGAACAUAUCAGAAAUGAAUUGGUGCCUUCGGGAACUUGGAGACAGGUGGUGCAUGGCUGUCGUCAGCUCGUGUCGUGAGAUGUUGGGUUAAGUCCCGCAACGAGCGCAACCCACGUUUUUAGUUGCCAUCAUUAAGUUGGGCACUCUAGAGAGACUGCCGGUGACAAACCGGAGGAAGGUGUGGACGACGUCAAGUCAUCAUGCCCCUUACGUUCUGGGCUACACACGUACUACAAUGCUUCGGACAGAGGGCAGCGAACUAGCGAUAGUAAGCUAAUCCCAUAAACCGAGGCUCAGUUCAGAUUGCAGGCUGCAACUCGCCUGCAUGAAGGAGGAAUCGCUAGUAAUCGCAGGUCAGCAUACUGCGGUGAAUACGUUCCCGGGCCUUGU